rnacentral:rRNA from 1 species
GGCCACCGCUAUUGGAAUACGCUUAAGCCAUGCGAGUCGGGAGUCUUCGGGACUCGGCUGACGGCUCAGUAACACGCGGACAAUCUAACCUUAGGUGGGGGAUAACCUCGGGAAACUGAGAAUAAUACCCCAUAGACUUAGAAAUUGCUGGAAUGCUUCUAAGUUGAAAACCCUGGUGCCUAAGGAUGAGUCUGCGGCCUAUCAGGUUGUAGUGAGUGUAACGUACUCACUAGCCUACAACGGGUACGGGCUUUGAGAGAAGUUGCCCGGAGAUGGACUCUGAGACACGAGUCCAGGCCCUACGGGGCGCAGCAGGCGCGAAAACUUCACAAUGUGCGAAAGCACGAUGAGGGAAUUCCAAGUGCUAACACAAAAAUUUGUUGUUAGCUGUUCUCCUGCCCAAAAAGCUGGAGAAGUAAGGGCCGGGUAAGACGGGUGCCAGCCGCCGCGGUAAUACCCGCGGCCCGAGUGGUGGUCAUCAUUAUUGAGCUUAAAGCGUCCGUAGCCGGUCUAGUAAAUCCCUAAGUAAAUCGAAUCGCUUAACGAUUCGAAUCCUGGGGAGACUGCUAGACUAGGGACUGGGAGAGGUUAGAGGUACUUCUAGGGUAGGGGUAAAAUCCUGUAAUCCUAGGGGGACCACCAGUGGCGAAGGCGUCUAACUAGAACAGAUCCGACGGUGAGGGACGAAGCCCUGGGGCGCAAACGGGAUUAGAUACCCCGGUAGUCCAGGGUGUAAACGCUGCAGACUUGGUGUCGGAGGUCCUGUGUGGGCGUUCGGUGCCGGAGAGAAAUUGUUAAGUCUGCCGCUUGGGAAGUAUAUUCGCAAGAAUGAAACUUAAAGGAAUUGGCGGGGGAGCACCGCAACGGGAGGAGCGUGCGGUUUAAUUGGAUUCAACGCCGGAAAACUCACCGGGAGCGACGGUUACAUGAAGGCCAAGCCGAUGACUUUGCCAGAUUUUCCGAGAGGUGGUGCAUGGCCGUCGUCAGUUCGUACCGUAAGGCGUUCUGUCAAGUCAGAUAACGAACGAGACCCUCACCUUUAAUUGCAAACAUCUUCUCUGGAAGGUGUGCACAUUAAAGGAACCGCUGAUGCUAAAUCAGAGGAAGGGGAGGUCAACGGUAGGUCAGUAUGCCCCGAAUCUCCCGGGCAACACGCGCGCUACAAAGGAUGGGACAAUGAGAUUCAACCCUGAGAGGGGAAGGUAAUCCCGAAACCCAUUCGUAGUCUGGAUUGAAGGCUGUAACCCGCCUUCAUGAAACUGGAUUCCGUAGUAAUCGCGGGUCAACAUCCCGCGGUGAAUAUGCCCCUGCUCCUUGCACACACCGCCCGUCAAACCAUCCGAGUUGGGUUUGAGUAAGGAUGCCUCUUUUUGGGGUGUUCGAACUUAGGUUCAGCGAGGGGGGUU